UUUAUCAGUACUUCAGAGCCACUAAAUGCUUAUUUCAAACAUCAAAGCAGGACACCCAGCCCCUCCAGUGUAACUGACCCUACAGCUGGUAAAGAACUUGCACAGUUUCUCUUGAGAGAGAGCAACAAGACAAUCUGAAUUCUUCCAAUUGUCUAAUUUAAGUACAGAGUUUCAGUAGCUGUUAAGAAGCCAGAAGCGCAUGAAAACUGCAACAGUUAUCACUUAAAGUGAAGCCUUUCUCCCCCGAGAACUGAAAAUAAGAGUGAACCUAAGUCAAGACAGACAUUUGACAAAGCCAAUAUCAAGAUUAGUGGCAGAUGAAAGUCUCAACCAACAGAAAUAGCUUUUACCUUGGUCAAGUAUCUCCUUCAUGACUGAAUAAAGUAGGGCAUGGCAAAGUCCAUGAUGUUGUGCCUCCAUGCAGUUUCCAAGACAACAUCUGGCCUUAGAAGGUCAUAACAGGUGAAGAGACAAGCUCCAAAACAUUCUCUCUUUUCUUCCUGCAAGAACCACUGCAGCAGUUCUUCUGCUAACUCUGUAUCUUUGGAUUCUGAAGCAUAUUGCAUUGCAUCCUACAAAUGGACAAGAGAAUCUCUCAUUAAAAAGAGCCACAUCUAUGCUGGAGAAGGAACUGUGCUAGGCAUACCAAGUUUGGUCAAAGCAGUAAUGAGCCAUUCAAAAAAAAAAAAAAACAAAAAACAAAAAAACAAAAAACACACCACUAUCUUGGGGAUUUAGGCUUCCAAGAUGCUUUUCAAGUACAUUAUAGCACUACCACCAGAGGGGAUAGGAUCACUGAUACUAGUAGUAAAGUAAGCCAUGUGAACAUAGACUGGAAUAUAGAACAUUAAAGCUAUGCAGACCUCUUACCUUGUAUAGUCUGUCUUUCUUGCAAAGUUCUACACUCUGUUUCCAGCGAUUGUUGCCUUUAAAGAGAUAUGCAGCAAUUCUUCUGAACUCAAUCAGCUCGUGCUUCUCCAAACGCUGAGCAAGGGAGAUGUUGUCAAAGUUGUCAUAGGCAUCUAUAGAUGUCCUAAGAGCCUGAAUUGGAAUAGAAUGGAGUCAUUCAAACCUCAGUGCUUGUGUUCCAGAAAGGGUCAAUGAAUUUAUGUUUUAGAUACCACUUGAGCUGUUUGCAGAGUUCCUUUGCUCAAACUUUUGAGUCUAUUUUCAGAUCUUAAGUAAUCCUGCAGUUUGUUACUGCAGUUAAUGGAUGCAUAGUUAUGCCAAUUAGCUAUCUGUACCAAUUAGAAUGCAUAAAAGAAAGGUGUUUUAAACAAGGGCACUUUUUUUAUUUUUUUUUAAAAAAGCCUACCUGAUAGUCUUCUAUAUAAGAAGAGAUUAUUCAGAGACUCAUUCACUGAUUUGUUGUUGUGGUUUUGAACUGAGCGCAGGUAUGGUUUAACAAGUGGAAGCUGUUUAGCCUUUAAGAGAAGAAGUUUUGACAUGAGAAUCCUGAACAUAAUAUAGCACACCAUAAGCUUAUAGAUGUUUGUCGCAGAUACAUUCACUGUCAUUUACUCAAUUGGAGUCAAAUGCUUCAUCUCCACUUGUAAAGUCUUUCAUAAUUAUAGGAAAAUAAAAACCAAUUACCUUACUGAAGAAGUUUACAGCACGAGUAUGAUCCAGCCGAGGAGACAGCACCAUCAACAGAUCAUUGAGCAACAGGGGUUUAAAUUCCAAAUAAAACUGGAUUGCUUUAUAAUACAGCUCCACAUUGGCCACCUAGAGACAGCAUAGAGGAUCAUUUAAUAGAUCUUUACAUACUUGUUCCAUGGUGUUUAUGUAUUUCUGCAUGGUUUUUUCUCGUUUGUUACCUCUAAUGAAAGAGAGGCCCUUAAGUUACCUGAAGCAUGCCUGCCAGCAUUAAGAAAUUUUGCUUUA